AUGGCUCAGGAUGAACGCUAGCGGCAGGCUUAACACAUGCAAGUCGAGGGGCAGCAUGGGAGUAGCAAUACUUCUGAUGGCGACCGGCGCACGGGUGCGUAACGCGUAUGCAACCUACCUGUAACAGGGGGAUAACACUGAGAAAUCGGUACUAAUACCGCAUAACACUAUGAGAGGCAUCUCUUGUGGUUGAAAGUUUCGGCGGUUACAGAUGGGCAUGCGUUGUAUUAGCUGGUUGGUAAGGUAACGGCUUACCAAGGCGACGAUACAUAGGGGGACUGAGAGGUUAACCCCCCACAUUGGUACUGAGACACGGACCAAACUCCUACGGGAGGCAGCAGUGAGGAAUAUUGGUCAAUGGACGGAAGUCUGAACCAGCCAUGCCGCGUGCAGGAAGACGGCUCUAUGAGUUGUAAACUGCUUUCGUACAAGGGUAAACCUGAAUACGUGUAUUCAGCUGAAAGUAUUGUACGAAUAAGGAUCGGCUAACUCCGUGCCAGCAGCCGCGGUAAUACGGAGGAUCCAAGCGUUAUCCGGAUUUAUUGGGUUUAAAGGGUGCGUAGGCGGAUUGAUAAGUUAGAGGUGAAAUGUCCGAGCUCAACUCGGGAACUGCCUCUAAUACUGUUGAUCUAGAGAGUAGAUGCGGUAGGCGGAAUGUAUGGUGUAGCGGUGAAAUGCUUAGAGAUCAUACAGAACACCGAUUGCGAAGGCAGCUUACCAAUCUAUAUCUGACGUUGAGGCACGAAAGCGUGGGGAGCAAACAGGAUUAGAUACCCUGGUAGUCCACGCAGUAAACGAUGAUAGCUCGUUGUCGGCGAUACACAGUCGGUGACUAAGAGAAAUCGAUAAGCUAUCCACCUGGGGAGUACGUUCGCAAGAAUGAAACUCAAAGGAAUUGACGGGGGCCCGCACAAGCGGAGGAACAUGUGGUUUAAUUCGAUGAUACGCGAGGAACCUUACCCGGGCUUGAAAGUUAGUGACUGAUCUGGAAACAGGUCUUCCCUUCGGGGCACGAAACUAGGUGCUGCAUGGUUGUCGUCAGCUCGUGCCGUGAGGUGUCGGGUUAAGUCCCAUAACGAGCGCAACCCCUACUGAUAGUUGCCAUCAGGUCAAGCUGGGCACUCUAUCGGGACUGCCGGUGUAAGCCGGAGGAGGGUGGGGAUGACGUCAAAUCAGCACGGCCCUUACGUCCGGGGCGACACACGUGUUACAAUGGUAGGUACAGAGGGCCGCUACCCAGCGAUGGGGUGCAAAUCUCGAAAGCCUAUCUCAGUUCGGAUUGGAGGCUGAAACUCGCCUCCAUGAAGUUGGAUUCGCUAGUAAUCGCGCAUCAGCCAUGGCGCGGUGAAUACGUUCCCGGGCCUUGUACACACCGCCCGUCAAGCCAUGGGAGUUGGGGGUGCCUGAAGUUCGUGACCGCAAGGAGCGACCUAGGGCAAAACUAAUGACUGGGGCUAAGUCGUAACAAGGUA
rnacentral:rRNA from 1 species